rnacentral:lncRNA from 1 species
AGAUGAAAGGAGACUCCACACUCUCCGGGUGUGCGGGCAGAGCGGCAGCGCACAGGUGGCGCAGGUGGGCAACUAGCACAGGUGGUCAAGCGGGCCAGGUGGCGCAGGUGGGCAACUGGAGCAGAUAAUGCAAAUGGCGCAGUGGGGCAGGUGGCACAGAUAGGCAGGAGUCCCCGCGCCCUCGCUCACCUUUCCGCUGCAGGUACUGCAUCUGGAGCCGCAGGCUCGGGCGCUCCCGCAGCUCCUGCAGCACUCGGGAGUCGCCAGCGCCGCGGCCGCCCAGGAAUGCGUCGGAACCCGAGGUCUCGGUGGAGCUGUCCAGGCUGUCCCUUCGCAGGGGGCGGCCCUGGGACGCACGGUCCCCGCCGGCUGCCACCUCCUCCUCCUCGGUGCAGCUGUAGAGCUCGGUGAGCAACCCGCUCACUAGGGACGCCGUGCGGCUCGUGCGGCCGUCGGGCUGCGGCUCCAAGUCGCCCUCGUCCGCCGGGUGCCCCGCCGCCUCCUCGGAUUGCUGCGGGUCCCACGUCCUGCCCGCUGGAAGGACCUCCAUGGCUCGAACCGCCGCGGCGCCCGCCAGUUCCGGGAGGGCGCGGCCACGCGGGCAGCAAAGAGUCCCCAGCAGGGGUCGAAAUGCCAACCAAUGGGCGGAGGACCGGAGUUCCGGCUUCACGUCCGCGGGCGCCGCGCCCGAAUCCUUCCCACCUGACCCGGAGCGUCCAGGAGACUCCACAAAAACCUGACUAUCUGGCAAGUCCUGGGAUUUGAGUGACGUUGUGAACUUUUUUCCUCCAAUAAAAGACCUGGAUUCAGAACAACU